rnacentral:rRNA from 1 species
CGCGAACCCAAGUUAAGCGGGGCUAACCGGUUGAGUUUAAGCAUAUUAAUAAGCGGAGGAAAAGAAA